rnacentral:rRNA from 1 species
UUGAUCCUGGCUCAGGAUGAACGCUGGCGGCGUGCUUAACACAUGCAAGUCGAACGAACCUUCGGGUUAGUGGCGGACGGGUGAGUAACGCGUGGGAAUCUGCCCUCAGGAGGGGGAUAACGGCCGGAAACGGCCGCUAAUACCCCAUAUGCCGAGAGGUGAAAUGAAUUUCGCCUGAGGAUGAGCCCGCGUCUGAUUAGCUAGUUGGUGGGGUAAUGGCCCACCAAGGCGACGAUCAGUAGCUGGUCUGAGAGGAUGAUCAGCCACACUGGGACUGAGACACGGCCCAGACUCCUACGGGAGGCAGCAGUGGGGAAUUUUCCGCAAUGGGCGAAAGCCUGACGGAGCAACGCCGCGUGAGGGAUGAAGGCCUCUGGGCUGUAAACCUCUUUUCUCAAGGAAGAAGACAUGACGGUACUUGAGGAAUAAGCCACGGCUAAUUCCGUGCCAGCAGCCGCGGUAAUACGGGAGUGGCAAGCGUUAUCCGGAAUUAUUGGGCGUAAAGCGUCCGCAGGCGGCCUUGUAAGUCUGUCGUUAAAGCGUGGAGCUUAACUCCAUUUCAGCGAUGGAAACUACAAGGCUUGAGUGUGGUAGGGGCAGAGGGAAUUCCCGGUGUAGCGGUGAAAUGCGUAGAUAUCGGGAAGAACACCAGUGGCGAAGGCGCUCUGCUGGGCCAUAACUGACGCUCAUGGACGAAAGCCAGGGGAGCGAAAGGGAUUAGAUACCCCUGUAGUCCUGGCCGUAAACGAUGAACACUAGGUGUCGGGGGAAUCGACCCCCUCGGUGUCGUAGCUAACGCGUUAAGUGUUCCGCCUGGGGAGUACGCACGCAAGUGUGAAACUCAAAGGAAUUGACGGGGGCCCGCACAAGCGGUGGAGUAUGUGGUUUAAUUCGAUGCAACGCGAAGAACCUUACCAGGGUUUGACAUCCUGCGAAUCCCUUGGAAACGAGGGAGUGCCUUCGGGAGCGCAGAGACAGGUGGUGCAUGGCUGUCGUCAGCUCGUGUCGUGAGAUGUUGGGUUAAGUCCCGCAACGAGCGCAACCCACGUCUUUAGUUGCCAGCAUUCAGUUGGGCACUCUAGAGAGACCGCCGGUGAUAAACCGGAGGAAGGUGUGGAUGACGUCAAGUCAUCAUGCCCCUUACAUCCUGGGCUACACACGUACUACAAUGCUACGGACAAAGGGUUGCAAGCUCGCGAGAGUUAGCUAAUCCCAUAAACCGUGGCUCAGUUCAGAUCGUAGGCUGCAACUCGCCUACGUGAAGGAGGAAUCGCUAGUAAUCGCAGGUCAGCAUACUGCGGUGAAUACGUUCCCGGGCCUUGUACACACCGCCCGUCACACCAUGGAAGUUGGCCAUGCCCGAAGUCGUUGCUCCAACCCUUGUGGAGGAGGACGCCGAAGGUGGGGCUGAUGA